CCUUAUUACAUGGCAAGUCCGAACGAACUCUGGUAUUGAUUGGUGCUUGCAUCAUGAUUUACAUUUGAGUGAGUGGCGAACUGGUGAGUAACACGUGGGAAACCUGCCCAGAAGCGGGGGAUAACACCUGGAAACAGAUGCUAAUACCGCAUAACAACUUGGACCGCAUGGUCCGAGUUUGAAAGAUGGCUUCGGCUAUCACUUUUGGAUGGUCCCGCGGCGUAUUAGCUAGAUGGUGGGGUAACGGCUCACCAUGGCAAUGAUACGUAGCCGACCUGAGAGGGUAAUCGGCCACAUUGGGACUGAGACACGGCCCAAACUCCUACGGGAGGCAGCAGUAGGGAAUCUUCCACAAUGGACGAAAGUCUGAUGGAGCAACGCCGCGUGAGUGAAGAAGGGUUUCGGCUCGUAAAACUCUGUUGUUAAAGAAGAACAUAUCUGAGAGUAACUGUUCAGGUAUUGACGGUAUUUAACCAGAAAGCCACGGCUAACUACGUGCCAGCAGCCGCGGUAAUACGUAGGUGGCAAGCGUUGUCCGGAUUUAUUGGGCGUAAAGCGAGCGCAGGCGGUUUUUUAAGUCUGAUGUGAAAGCCUUCGGCUCAACCGAAGAAGUGCAUCGGAAACUGGGAAACUUGAGUGCAGAAGAGGACAGUGGAACUCCAUGUGUAGCGGUGAAAUGCGUAGAUAUAUGGAAGAACACCAGUGGCGAAGGCGGCUGUCUGGUCUGUAACUGACGCUGAGGCUCGAAAGUAUGGGUAGCAAACAGGAUUAGAUACCCUGGUAGUCCAUACCGUAAACGAUGAAUGCUAAGUGUUGGAGGGUUUCCGCCCUUCAGUGCUGCAGCUAACGCAUUAAGCAUUCCGCCUGGGGAGUACGGCCGCAAGGCUGAAACUCAAAGGAAUUGACGGGGGCCCGCACAAGCGGUGGAGCAUGUGGUUUAAUUCGAAGCUACGCGAAGAACCUUACCAGGUCUUGACAUACUAUGCAAAUCUAAGAGAUUAGACGUUCCCUUCGGGGACAUGGAUACAGGUGGUGCAUGGUUGUCGUCAGCUCGUGUCGUGAGAUGUUGGGUUAAGUCCCGCAACGAGCGCAACCCUUAUUAUCAGUUGCCAGCAUUAAGUUGGGCACUCUGGUGAGACUGCCGGUGACAAACCGGAGGAAGGUGGGGAUGACGUCAAAUCAUCAUGCCCCUUAUGACCUGGGCUACACACGUGCUACAAUGGAUGGUACAACGAGUUGCGAACUCGCGAGAGUAAGCUAAUCUCUUAAAGCCAUUCUCAGUUCGGAUUGUAGGCUGCAACUCGCCUACAUGAAGUCGGAAUCGCUAGUAAUCGCGGAUCAGCAUGCCGCGGUGAAUACGUUCCCGGGCCUUGUACACACCGCCCGUCACACCAUGAGAGUUUGUAACACCCAAAGUCGGUGGGGUAACCUUUUAGGAACCAGCCCGCCCUAAAGGGA
rnacentral:rRNA from 1 species